rnacentral:rRNA from 1 species
ACGCUGGCGGCAGGCCUAACACAUGCAAGUCGAGCGGUAGAGAGAAGCUUGCUUCUCUUGAGAGCGGCGGACGGGUGAGUAAUGCCUAGGAAUCUGCCUGGUAGUGGGGGAUAACGUUCGGAAACGAACGCUAAUACCGCAUACGUCCUACGGGAGAAAGCAGGGGACCUUCGGGCCUUGCGCUAUCAGAUGAGCCUAGGUCGGAUUAGCUAGUUGGGGGGGUAAUGGCUCACCAAGGCGACGAUCCGUAACUGGUCUGAGAGGAUGAUCAGUCACACUGGAACUGAGACACGGUCCAGACUCCUACGGGAGGCAGCAGUGGGGAAUAUUGGACAACGGGCGAAAGCCUGAUCCAGCCAUGCCGCGUGUGUGAAGAAGGUCUUCGGAUUGUAAAGCACUUUAAGUUGGGAGGAAGGGCAGUUGCCUAAUACGUAACUGUUUUGACGUUACCGACAGAAUAAGCACCGGCUAACUCUGUGCCAGCAGCCGCGGUAAUACAGAGGGUGCAAGCGUUAAUCGGAAUUACUGGGCGUAAAGCGCGCGUAGGUGGUUUGUUAAGUUGGAUGUGAAAUCCCCGGGCUCAACCUGGGAACUGCAUUCAAAACUGACUGACUAGAGUAUGGUAGAGGGUGGUGGAAUUUCCUGCGUAGCGGUGAAAUGCGUAGAUAUAGGAAGGAACACCAGUGGCGAAGGCGACCACCUGGACUGAUACUGACACUGAGGUGCGAAAGCGUGGGGAGCAAACAGGAUUAGAU